UUCAACAUACACACACACUCGACAAAAACAUGAUAAAAAUUGCAUGUACAGGCAGAUUAAGAAAAGCAGGUGCAAGAUAUGGAAUUGGCCUCAGGAACUCUCAAUUUGGACUUAAAAGUGCUCAAGGAAAUCAACUCAGUUAGUUUCCAGUCUUUCUGUCAAAAUAAAAAAGGAAAUGUACAAUCACAAU